ensembl:lncRNA
GAAGAAACGGGGACGCAGGCGGAGCUCGAAGGGCAACGUGAGGUCUGAAUAAGCGCUCUGUACGGAGAGACAGAGACCCGGGAUGCAAGAAAGAGAGAGAGAUUGAAGCGAAAGGUCCUGAUGGCUCCCAGCUCGCCCUCUGCUAUUGGACCAAACUGAAUGAAAUUUACAAAGCCAGCAGCCAAUAGAUCUCCGCAGUCGGCCCCGUCACUACAGAAACCAAAUCCGCAGCUACAAAGCGCUUGCAAAGAGCAGCUAAUCCCAGUGCAAACCAGCUGGAACGGAGAGAUUCCCCGGGUGUGCCGGGGUGGUGGAACAGUCGCUAAGCUGUGUCAGACUCUUGCGACCCCGUGGAUUGUAGCCCGCCAAGCUCGUCUGUCCAUGGGAUUCUCCAGGCAAGAAUACUGGAGUGGUUUGCCAUUCCCUUCUCCCGGGGAGCUUCCCGAUCCAGGGAUCGAACUCCGGUCUCCUAUUCUUUAUCUACGGAGCUGCUGGGAAGCAAUGACAUGUAGAUAGAAGCAUGAAUAGAUAAUACAUAGAAGGAUGGAUAGAAAGAUGGAAGGUUGGAUAGAUGGAUGGACUGAUGCAUGGACAGAGAGAUAGAUAGAUACCUAUAUACAUACAGUGAUACACAGAUGGAUACAUAGAUAGCUAUCUGUAUCCAUCUGUAUAACAAAAUGAACAUGAAGACCCGUAAAGGACAAAACCUGUUUUCUGUCCAGGUGAUGGGCUAAUAUUAAUCCCUUUUGGGGUUUGUUUCUUAUACGUAAGAAUGUAUGGUUCUGAUGAAUAAAAUACGCAAUGGUUCUUAUGAAUAAAGUACUGAAGACACUGGUGGCGUCUGUCAUGUACUUUGAAACGUCGCUCUUCACUUUUGCAAUCUAGGAGUUCAUCUUUUCCAGCCAACUACACGCUUGUUGAUAGGACCUGGUUUUCAUCGCUGGGUUGAGGUGAGUCGGCUGUCCACUGGCUGAUAUCUGAGGCUUACUGCCCACAAGGUGGAGAAGGCUGUAGAGUGUUGUGGCAAGCUGCACACAGAUUCCCAAACUCGAUUCCUAGGGUUCCAGUGGCCUGUGACCUUCGGGGCGUGUGCCAAGAUGCUUUGUCUGGGUUUCUGCCUCUGUGACGUGGAGCAGAUGAAAGCAAUCCCCUCAUGAUAUCCUUGUGAUAACUGAUACAGGGCUCAGGCAUGUA